GGGCGCGUAACUCAAUCGUAGAGUGGUGGCCUUUUAAGCCAUAAGUUUUGGGUUCAAGUCCCAACGCGCUCA
rnacentral:tRNA from 1 species